UACGUAGGAGGCAAGCGUUGUCCGGAAUUAUUGGGCGUAAAGAGCUCGUAGGCGGUUUGUCGCGUCGGCCGUGAAAACUGGAGGCUUAACCUUCAGCUUGCGGUCGAUACGGGCAGACUUGAGUUCGGUAGGGGAGACUGGAAUUCCUGGUGUAGCGGUGAAAUGCGCAGAUAUCAGGAGGAACACCGGUGGCGAAGGCGGGUCUCUGGGCCGAUACUGACACUGAGGAGCGAAAGCGUGGGUAGCAAACAGG
rnacentral:rRNA from 1 species